UCUGGUGAUCAUAGUGCAAGGGCCACACCCGAUUCCAUUCCGAACUCGGAAGUUAAGCCUUGUUACGCCGAUGGUACUUCACGGGAGACUGUGUGGGAGAGUAGGACGUCACCAGUA
rnacentral:rRNA from 1 species